GACGAACGCUGGCGGCGUGCCUAAUACAUGCAAGUCGAACGCAGUGGGGACGGGUGAGUAACACGUGGGUAACCUCCCAUCAGAGGGGAUAACACUUGGAAACAGGUGCUAAACCGAUACUGAUGGAUGGACGCGCGGUGCAUUAGCUAGGUGGUGGGGUAACGGCUCACCAACGCCACGAUGCAUAGCCCACCUGUGAGGGUGCACAGCCACACUGAGACUGAGACAGCGCCCCACCGCCUACGCGAGGCAGCAGUCAGGAAUAUUCCGCAAUGGGCGAAAGUCUGACCGAGCAACGCCGCGUGAGUGAAGAAGGUUUUCGGAUCGUAAAACUCUGUUGUUAGAGAAGCGGUAUCUAGCCAGAAUGCCACGGCUAACUACGUGCCAGCAGCCGCGGUAAUAG
rnacentral:rRNA from 1 species